rnacentral:rRNA from 1 species
CCCCAGACUCCUACGGGAGGCAGCAGUGGGGAAUAUUGCACAAUGGGCGAAAGCCUGAUGCAGCAACGCCGCGUGAAGGAAGACGGUUUUCGGAUUGUAAACUUCUGUUCUUAGUGAAGAAUAAUGACGGUAACUAAGGAGCAAGCCACGGCUAACUACGUGCCAGCAGCCGCGGUAAUACGUAGGUGGCAAGCGUUGUCCGGAAUUACUGGGUGUAAAGGGAGCGUAGGCGGCAAGGUAAGCGAUAUGUGAAAGCCUUAAGCUUAACUAAAGGAUUGCAUAACGAACUAUCUAGCUAGAGUACAGGAGAGGAAAGCGGAAUUCCUAGUGUAGCGGUGAAAUGCGUAGAUAUUAGGAAGAACACCAGUGGCGAAGGCGGCUUUCUGGACUGAAACUGACGCUGAGGCUCGAAAGCGUGGGGAGCGAACAGGAUUAGAUACCCGAGUAA